rnacentral:rRNA from 1 species
CGCGUAGGCGGGCGACCAAGUCAAGGGUGAAAUCCUGCGGCUCAACCGUAGAAGAGCCCCUGAUACUGGUUGUCUCGAGGGAGGUAGGGGCGUGUGGAACUUCCGGUGGAGCGGUGAAAUGCGUAGAUAUCGGAAGGAACGCCGGUGGCGAAAGCGACGCGCUGGACCUCUUCUGACGCUGAGGCGCGAAAGCUAGGGGAGCAAACGGGAUUAGAUACCCCGGUAGUCCUAGCCCUAAACGAUGGGUACUAGGUAGUGGACUUGACAUGGGUUCACUGCCGAAGCAAAAGUAUUAAGUACCCCGCCUGGGGAGUAUGGUCGCAAGGCUGAA